rnacentral:ncRNA from 2 species
UACGGAGGAUCCAAGCGUUAUCCGGAAUCAUUGGGUUUAAAGGGUCCGUAGGCGGCCUUAUAAGUCAGUGGUGAAAUCUCCUAGCUCAACUAGGAAACUGCCAUUGAUACUGUAGGGCUUGAAUUUUUGUGAAGUAACUAGAAUAUGUAGUGUAGCGGUGAAAUGCUUAGAUAUUACAUGGAAUACCAAUUGCGAAGGCAGGUUACUAACAAACGAUUGACGCUGAUGGACGAAAGCGUGGGUAGCGAACAGG